GACGGAGGGUGCAAGCGUUGUUCGGAAUCAUUGGGCGUAAAGCGCGUGUAGGCGGUGGGAUAAGGCCGAUGUGAAAGCCUUGGGCUCAACCCGAGAAGUGCAUUGGGGACUGUCCUUCUUGAGUACGGGAGGGGGAAGUGGAAUUCCCAGUGUAGAGGUGAAAUUCGUAGAUAUUGGGAGGAACACCGGUGGCGAAAGCGACUUCCUGGAACGAUACUGACGCUGAGAAGCGAAAGCGUGGGGAGCAAACAGG
rnacentral:rRNA from 1 species